GUCUGAGUUCAAGUGGCAGGACUUUUUUCUCUUGGAAUUAGCCCAUUUAGGUGCUCACUGCAGCUUCUGUUGGAAUUCUCUCAUUCCUCUUUCCUCCCUCCCUCCCUUCUUUUCCUUCAGGGUGCUGAGAUCAGAUCCAGAACCUUGAACAUGCUGGACAAUGGCUCUACCAAUGAGCUGUACCCUUAGCCUGUGCAUCAUCACAUUGAAGUCUCUCAUCUUCUUUAAAGCUGAUAUGAAAGGACAGCACUCUAUUUCACAUACCCACUGUGGAAACUACGCAGUUUCUACAUUACAACAGUUUCAGAACCUCCAGGACCAAGAUUAAGUUUUGUAUCAUUAGAACCUAGCAUCAUGUCUAUAAUGUGUACAGAAUAAAUUUAUACAAUGAACAAAUAAAUGUGUUAUCUUACCUCUGCAA